GACCGUGUGGCCUAAUGGAUAAGGCGUCGGACCUCUAAUAUCAUGAAAUGACAUUCGACAAUUACGGGUUUGAAUCCCGCCAUGGUUA
rnacentral:tRNA from 1 species